rnacentral:rRNA from 1 species
GUGGGGAAUAUUGGACAAUGGGCGAAAGCCUGAUCCAGCCAUGCCGCGUGUGUGAAGAAGGUCUUCGGAUUGUAAAGCACUUUAAGUUGGGAGGAAGGGCAGUAAGUUAAUACCUUGCUGUUUUGACGUUACCGACAGAAUAAGCACCGGCUAACUUCGUGCCAGCAGCCGCGGUAAUACGAAGGGUGCAAGCGUUAAUCGGAAUUACUGGGCGUAAAGCGCGCGUAGGUGGUUCAGUAAGUUGGAUGUGAAAUCCCCGGGCUCAACCUGGGAACUGCAUCCAAAACUGCUGAGCUAGAGUACGGUAGAGGGUGGUGGAAUUUCCUGUGUAGCGGUGAAAUGCGUAGAUAUAGGAAGGAACACCAGUGGCGAAGGCGACCACCUGGACUGAUACUGACACUGAGGUGCGAAAGCGUGGGGAGCAAACAGGAUUAGAUACCCGGGUAGUCC